GACAGUCGCUUAGGCUUUUAUAUAUACAGGUAGUGUUUGCUGCACUGAACUUAGUAGUUAAACCAACUUGUUUCCAAGUCCUUAGCCUGGGUAAAGAAGAAAAGUCUCUAAAGGAAAGUCUACUGGUUAUCAUUGGACUUCUCAGCAGAAACUCUGCAAACUAGAAGAGAAUAGAACCAAAUAUUCAAACUACUGAAAGAGAGAAAUUACUAGCCAUGAAUAAUAUAUCCAGCAAAGUUAUCCUUUAGAUAUGAAGAAGAAAUUAAGAUUUUCCCAGACAUA